AUUGAACGCUGGCGGCAGGCCUAACACAUGCAAGUCGAGCGAGCGGCGGACGGGUGAGUAAUGUGUGGGGAUCUGCCCGAGGGAGGGGGAUAACUACUGGGAACGGUAGCUCAUACCGCGUACAGUCGGAUGUACCCAGAUGGGAUUAGCUAGUAGGUUAGGUAAUGGCCUACCUAGGAGACGAUCCCUAGCUGGUCUGAGAGGAUGAGCAGCCACACUGGGACUGAGACACGGGCCAGACUACUAAGGGAGGCAGCAGUGGGGAAUAUUGCACAAUGGGCGCAAGCCUGAUGCAGCCCUGCCGCGUGUAUGAAGAAGGCCCUAGGGUUGUAAAGUACUUUCAGGUGGGAAGCGUUACCCACAGAAGAAGCACCGGCUAACUCCGUGCCAGCAACCGCGGUAAUAC
rnacentral:rRNA from 1 species